AUUGAACGCUGGCGGCAUGCCUUACACAUGCAAGUCGAAUGGUAACGGGCCUUCGGGUGCCGACGAGUGGCGAACGGGUGAGUAAUGUAUCGGAACGUACCUUUCAGUGGGGGAUAACGUAGCGAAAGUUACGCUAAUACCGCAUAUUCUGUGAGCAGGAAAGCAGGGGAUCGCAAGACCUUGCGCUGAUUGAGCGGCCGAUAUCAGAUUAGCUAGUCGGUGAGGUAAAAGCUCACCAAGGCGACGAUCUGUAGCGGGUCUGAGAGGAUGAUCCGCCACACUGGAACUGAGACACGGUCCAGACUCCUACGGGAGGCAGCAGUGGGGAAUUUUGGACAAUGGGGGCAACCCUGAUCCAGCCAUGCCGCGUGAGUGAAGAAGGCCUUCGGGUUGUAAAGCUCUUUCGGCCGGGAAGAAAUCGUAUCAGCUAAUACCUGGUGCGGAUGACGGUACCGGCAUAAGAAGCACCGGCUAACUACGUGCCAGCCGCCGCGGUAAAAC
rnacentral:rRNA from 1 species